UACAGAGGUCUCAAGCGUUGUUCGGAUUCAUUGGGCGUAAAGGGUGUGUAGGUGGCGCGCUAAGUCGGGUGUGAAAUUUCGGAGCUUAACUCCGAAACUGCAUUCGAUACUGGCGUGCUUGAGGACUGGAGAGGAGACUGGAAUUUACGGUGUAGCAGUGAAAUGCGUAGAUAUCGUAAGGAAGACCAGUGGCGAAGGCGGGUCUCUGGACAGUCCGUGACACUGAGACACGAAGGCCAGGGAGCAAACGGG
rnacentral:rRNA from 1 species